UGCGUAGGGACCAAGCGUUGUUCGGAUUUACUGGGCGUAAAGGGCGCGUAGGCGGCGUGGUAAGUCACUUGUGAAAUCUCUGAGCUUAACUCAGAACGGCCAAGUGAUACUGCUGUGCUCGAGUGUGGAAGGGGCAAUCGGAAUUCUUGGUGUAGCGGUGAAAUGCGUAGAUAUCAAGAGGAACACCUGAGGUGAAGACGGGUUGCUGGGCCAACACUGACGCUGAGGCGCGAAAGCGUGGGGAGCGAACAGGG
rnacentral:rRNA from 1 species